rnacentral:misc_RNA from 1 species
GAUGAAGAACGUAGUGAAAUGCGAUAACUAAUGUGAAUUGCAGAACUCAGUGAAUCAUCGAGUCUUUGAACGCACAUUGCGCCCCCUGGUAUUCCGGGGGGCAUGCCUGUCCGAGCGUCAUUGCUGCCCUCAAGCACGGCUUGUGUGUUGGGCUCCGUCCCCCCGGGGACGGGCCCGAAAGGCAGCGGCGGCACCGAGUCCGGUCCUCGAGCGUAUGGGGCUUUGUCACCCGCUCUGUAGGCCCGGCCGGCGCCAGCCGACAACCCAUCAUCCUUUUCAGGUUGACCUCGGAUCAGGUAGGGAUACCCGCUGAACUUAAGCAUAUCAAUAAGCGGAGGA